UACAGAGGUCCCCAAGCGUUGUUCGGAUUCACUGGGCGUAAAGGGUGCGUAGGCGGCCGGGUAAGUCUGUUGUGAAAUCCCGCAGCUUAACUGCGGAACUGCAGUGGAUACUAUCCGGCUCGAGGAAUGGAGGGGAGACUGGAAUUCUCGGUGUAGCAGUGAAAUGCGUAGAUAUCGAGAGGAACACCAGUGGCGAAGGCGAGUCUCUGGACAUUUCCUGACGCUGAGGCACGAAAGCCAGGGGAGC
rnacentral:rRNA from 1 species